GACCCGCACUUUACAGCGGAUAGAAACCCUAAUAGUAAUUAAUAAUAAUAAAAUAUUAAAUAUUUUCUUGUGUAUCUCAUUUGGUACAUCUACCGAAAGUAUCUCAUUGUAGGCGGCAGAUAUGAACUCGAUGAUGCCUUUUCCGGCAAUGGUGAUAGUGACGGCGACGACGAUCUCUCCGACCGCGGCGGAAGAAGGAAUUGGGUGCACAUUAGUGAGAGAGAGAGAGAGGGAGUGAGGGAAGGAGGCGAUGGUGUAUAGCUAAAGAUGAGAAAUAAAGAAUUGAUGAACAAAUCGGAGAUAAAGAAUUGAAAGUUCGGUGGAAGGAGAAAAAUGGACCAUGAUGAAUAAUUGGAGAUAGAGGUUAGGAUCGUAGAUAGUAGUAGGACCAUUUAAAUAUAUUAAUUGGAAGUUUGAUAGUGAAACCAUUUACAUUAAUUGAAAGUAUAGUGGAGAGAAGGUAGUGGGACCAUUUAAAUGCACUAAUUGAAAGUUUGGUUAAUGAGACCGUUAAAAUGCAUAUUGAAAAUUUAGUGAUGGAAAGAAGAAGAGUCACAUGCUAGUCAGGAUGAAGAAAAACUUACCACGUGGCAACAAACAUUGAGGAUUCAUAUAGUUUAAUAGAUGGGGAUUUUGUUUUUAAAUCGACCCACUUCACCCUUUUGUAGAGUGCAAAGUUGAAAAUGCAAAUGGUAGAGUUCAAUGUAUGUUUUAUUUUGGGGUGACAAUCUAACUUGUCGGUAACGAGCCCGUUUAUGUUUGGCUAGAAAUGAGCUUGAAAUUAAAUCACACGUUUAAUAAAAGAGUCGAAUAUGAGCUGAUUUUUUCAGCUCGUUUAAUAAAUGAGUCGAAUAUGAGUUCGGGUCAGCUCGUUCGUGUUCAACGCGAUAACAACUCGAUAUAUAUAAAUAAAUAAAUAUAUAUAUAAUACAGAUUUUAUUAUUUGAUUUUUAGCCCAAUCUAAAUACAAAUCCCAACUCAAUUACAAAAAAGCUAAUUUAUAUAUAAAAUUUUAAUUAUUAGAGCAAAGUCUAAUGAAUAAAAUAUCAUAAAUUUAUUUUAUAUAUAUAUAUAUAGUAUAGCUAAGUUACUUGUAAAAGCACCAAACAAUUGGUGCUUGUAAGUUUUUUACCGCUAGAUCUACCUCUUGGAUCAUUUUCAACCAUUAGAUUAUACUAUUCAACCAACUACCCACUCAACUCUACGGGGCCCACAUCAUCCUAACCGCAUAUCUUUUAAUCCAAUGGCUAAAAAUCUACAAGCACCAAUAACUUGGUACUUUUAAAAGCAUAGGAGCUCAAUUCUAUAUAUAAAUAUAUAUAGUGUAUGUCUCUUGUAUUUUCGAAAGUACGGAGGUUUCCGUACUUGUAAUUUGUUUUCGAUGAUAGGAUAUCCGAUUCGACAAUUGGCUCUGUUAGGUAUAUUCUAUCUUGUUGGAACUAUUUAGAAAUCAAAUUUUAUAAUUUUUUAACAUUAUUUACGAAGUAAUCAAAAGGUCUCAAAAUUGACUAUUUUAACGGUCGAUGUGGUAUGUUUUUAAGUUCAACAGUGUAAAAUAAUUUAAAUUACAUAAAACUUUAAUAGAAAAUUUUAUUUAAUAUCUAAAACAAGUUUUAUGCUGGAUAUUAUUAUUAUUAUUAUUAUUAUUAUUA
rnacentral:lncRNA from 1 species